GCUACACUGGGCUUGAGACACGGCCCACCCUCAUACCGGACGCAGCAGGGGGGAAUAUUGGGCAAUGGGGGAAACCCUGACCCAGCAACGCCGCGUGAAGGAAGAAGGCCUUCGGGUUGUAAACUUCUGUGACAGGGGACGAAGGAAGUGACGGUACCCUGAGAGGAAGCUCCGGCAAACUACGUGCCAGCAGCCGCGGUAAUACGUAGGGAGCGAGCGUUGUCCGGAAUUACUGGGCGUAAAGGGCGCGUAGGCGGUAGAUCAAGUCGCAUGUGAAAUACCCGGGCUCAACCUGGGGGGUGCAUGCGAAACUGGAAUACUUGAGUGCGGUAGAGGAAAGUGGAAUUCCUAGUGUAGCGGUGAAAUGGGUAGAUAUUAGGAGGAACACCAGUGGCGAAGGCGACUUUCUGGGCCGUAACUGACGCUGAGGCGCGAAAGCGUGGGGAGCAAACAGGAUUA
rnacentral:rRNA from 1 species